UCGGAUGUGGUGCACGGUGCACGCCCACUCUCCCUGGCCGGAAAUUAAAAUAGGUUACGUGGGAGACCUGGGUUCGACUCCCGGCGUCCGAA